rnacentral:rRNA from 1 species
CCUACGGGAGGCAGCAGUGGGGAAUAUUGCACAAUGGGGCAAACCCUGAUGCAGCGACGCCGCGUGAGUGAAGAAGUAUUUCGGUACGUAAAGCUCUAUCAGCAGGGAAGUAAAUGACGGUACCUGACUAAGAAGCCCCGGCUAACUACGUGCCAGCAGCCGCGGUAAUACGUAGGGGGCAAGCGUUAUCCGGAUUUACUGGGUGUAAAGGGAGCGUAGACGGCAGCGCAAGUCUGGAGUGAAAUCCCAUGGCUUAACCAUGGAACUGCUUUGGAAACUGUGCAGCUAGAGUGCAGGAGAGGUAAGCGGAAUUCCUAGUGUAGCGGUGAAAUGCGUAGAUAUUAGGAGGAACACCAGUGGCGAAGGCGGCUUACUGGACUGUAACUGACGUUGAGGCUCGAAAGCGUGGGGAGCAAACAGGAUUAGAUACCCUUGUAGUC